rnacentral:lncRNA from 1 species
UUAAAUCUGUUCAAAGUUCUUUAAAAAAAAUUCCUAUUUCCUAACGUUUACCAACCCCUAAACAGCGACAUGUUGAAGGACAAAUCUAAGGUACAUCAUCAUCAUCGUCUACUGAUUUGUGUAGAGUCAACCAGAAAAUAUGUGGGCAAAUUCAAUCGAUAAGAAGACUUGGCAUGGCUUUAGAGACGUGUUAGGCAUUCUUACCAAAACCCAUGAUUAUAGUC